rnacentral:rRNA from 1 species
UACGAAGGGUGCGAGCGUUAUUCGGAAUCAUUGGGCGUAAAGGGUGUGUAGAUGGUAUGCUAAGUCUGUUGUUAAAUGCUCCGGCCUAACCGGAGACCUGCGGUGGAAACUGGUAUGCUAGAGGGUGGAAGAGAGAAGUGGAAUUCUCGGAGUAGCGGUAAAAUGCGUAGAUCUCGAGAGGAACACCAAUGGCGAAGGCAGCUUCUUGGUCCACACCUGACAUUGAAACACGAAAGCGUGGGGAGCAAACAGG